GCGGGCGCGACCCCUGCGCGGGAGCCAGGGACAGGUGACAGGUGUGCGGGCAGCGGCCACCCCCGGCUCUGCACGGCCACGGCCUCGCUCUCGGGGUGUCCGAGGGGGCCCCGUGUGCGUGGGGUCUUCCAUGAGCACCUUCUCUGGGAAGUGCAGUCGGUCAGAGCUGUAGUUGAUUUAAGAUGCGUUUAUAAUUUCGCCGUUGUUUUAUUAAAGGUCUUUCAAAUUCCCCAGACAGAAGUCCCCUUCAAACGAUCGCUUGAACUUGAAGAUAUACCUUGUAAUACUGUCAGUCUAGGAGAACACGGUAGCAAGAUUCCUUGACAAAACCUCUUGGAAACUGGGACUUGUGAAUACUUCUUCGCCCCUGAAGCUUUGAAGAGGAAUAUGUUAAGCUAAACCUUGAAGUUGUUUCCUACUUAACAGGACAUAGACCAGCAAGAACUCUUCUUCUAAAGUCCAAGCAUAAGGUACCAGAUAGCUGCCCCCUGCUGUAGUCUGUCCCUGAAUAAAAUUUGUGCUUUUCCUGAUGCUUCUUGCAGCUCAA